AGCCCGAAGCGAGUCGGACCACGGUGGAGGGUGUGAGCGCGGUCCGUUUGGGGUACUGCGGGGUCACCGCUUACCACGUGUGCGACAAAGCUCGCUCACACCUAAGACUGCACAUGAUGCACUUAAUAAAUGAGGAAACCAAGGCAGUGCCAUCGGCCCUUUUCACGUAGAUUCAGAAAUGAUGAUGGGGACUAGACCCAGGUGACCUGAGUCCCGGAUUCGACUUUUCUCACCACGCCGCACUGCCUUCCACAGAAUGCUCGGAAACUGUCCUGAAAAUCGGUGGACAUGACUCACAGAAUGCACCCAUUCUUCCCAAAGGAGUCAGGGAAGGCGUUGGCACUUACUCAGACAAGAAAAUAUAUUCUUGGAAGAAAACCAAAAAAAAGUGUCAGAAGAGUUAGUAGUCCUUGUGUUGGUAUUCACUGAGCCGGAGAAAGAAGAAACAAGGAAGCUAACAGUAAGGAAGGAAAUUUUCUUAUUAUUGAACUGGUUUUUCCCCUGUAUAUGUUAUUUCCGGAUUUUUAAGCCACCUUAAGAUACUCUACUGGCCUCCUGAAAAGUCAGCAAAGUGCUAUCCAGAAGUCAUGCUUCAUUGGACGAUCAAAGCAGGGACACAUCGUAACCGCCAGUCUGGCUCCCUGGCACCUUGGGUUUCAGCUUUGGACCCUGCUUGGGACUAUAGCUGGAGGUUCCAGAGACUCCAAGGGAGCGCGAAAUGUGAAGUCUUAAGAACAAGCUCACGCUGCUGCGGCUGCUGGCCCCCGUGGCUCAGAACGCCUCCUGCUAACCAUCUGGCACAUACAAGGAAACUGAGGCCUGCAGAUGAAGAGUGACUUCCCCAAGGUCACACAGUCAGUGAGAAGCGAGCUAAGACUGGAAGCUGCUUGCUGCGUCUUACUCCAGCACUCCUUGCUUUUCUGCAUGUUGCUUAGUGUUUCAUGUGUGUGCACGUGUGUGUGUGCAUGUGCAUGUGUGCAUGUGUGCAAUAUGUGCCUGCAACACGCGCUUGCUUGAGCCCAAGGGGCAUUUAUUGGAGUGGUGUUUUGUCUGUGGAUUUACCAUAAAGCAUACUUCACCAGACUCCUCAUAUAAUAAUGGUAAUAAUUCAAGGUUGCUUUUGUUGAAAAUCCAGAGUUUGGGUUUUGGGUGGCUCAGUGGGUUAAAGCCUCUGC